UUUUUGUGUUUAUUUAAUCACUUCAUCAUAUUAAACCAAAGGAUUGAAUUGAAAAGCGUGUUGAAUAGUAAUUAAAUUAAAUUGUACGUUUCAGGUAUCAACAAAAGUGAGAUAAUUAUUGUUAUGGUGAACAAAACAACUGGCAACAGCAAGCGAAAAUGUGGUUUACAAAGACACUUUGUAAUAUUAAUUUUGGUUAGAAAUUCAGUUAAUUGAAUCCUUUGAGCGGUUCCAUUUUGAUUAGUGAUUAUUCAAGUCAACCCUCAAUUGUAUUACAACUGAAAGAUUAAUUGAGUCAAUCAAACGGUGAUGCAAAGAGCAAGAAUAAAAAAUCGUGAAACCAAAAGGUAAAAUUGAAUAGCAAACUGAAAGCGUGAUCAACUUUAAUAAAUUGUUUAAUAAGAUGAACAUCUUAUAUUUAAUAGUCAACCAUCACAGUUAUCAAAAGGAAGAAGAUGAGGAAGAAACAGAAUAAUAACAAUAAUUUAAUUAGCAUCAUUUUUUAAUCUGGUUUAUCAAAUUAACUGUAAAGUAGUCAGGUUGAAAAAUUUAACAACAUAAUUUACUCUUUGGUAGCCAGUAAUUGAUAGCGCCAUCUCUACGGCUAAACUAUCUUCCAGCAGCAUGGAAGCUUUGUUAUUUAUAAUUUGUUGUGCAUGUUCAUCUUUAUUAAAAUAUUAUAAUGUUCAAAUUAAUAGAUUAAUGGGUUAAAAUUUACUUUAUUCAGUGUUUAUUACAGUUGAUAAAUAUUUGUAUUGUUUACUGUUUCUGAAGAGCUAUUAGCUAUUGCCUGGAUUGACCAAUUCAAAAACUGGGUUUGUUUACCUCUAUUGAUGUGUUAUCGGCCCAUUGAGCUUGGCUCAGUGACUCUUGAUGCCUAUUGAUUAUUGAAUGAGUAUCAAUCAUUUUGGCAAUUUAUUGUAUCUUCACUUGAUAUUUUCAUCAACAUAAUCAACAACCAAUUGAAUACUUAACUUCCUAAUCAUCACAUUAACUGGACCAGCAAAUAUUAAAAGCAAAAUUUUCCGUACGAUUCAAUACAGAUUGAAUUGGGAUUUUUCAAGGUUUAUUUGACUAACCUGAACUUAAUGAAUAGCUGAUGAAAUAUGUUCCAAGGAGCAAAUAAUUGAUGAUGGUUAACAAAUGGAUAGCAACUGUAUCAUUAAUGGGUUAAAUAUUAAUACAUUUAAUAAAUGGAUUCAAUCCUUUCAAAUAUUUGCACAACAAUAACCAAAUAUUAGUUAUCAAUUGAUACCUACAGCCUAUUGUAUUAUUUCAAUCUACGUCAACUUACAGAACCAAAAACCAUGGAUCGUAUUUUAAUAUCAGCCAAUGAGUUCAAUUGAAAAAUCAAAAGUUUCAAGUUCUUCCUCACUAACCAGUUGACAACAAGACAAUUAACCUUGUGAUUUAAUCUGCUCAAACAAAUGGAAAUGAUUGAAAUGUUUACAUGAGAUUUAAUCAGAGUAUCAUUGACUUGCAAAGACAAACCAAAGAUCAAAUUUCAUUCAAUCCAUCACUGGCUAAACACACUAAUCAAUUGUAAACCAACAAAAAGUGCAAUUUCAACACGUACAUUAAGCCCAUAAUGACCAAGCAAUAAUGAGUAGCAGUGAAAAUUAUUGUGAAUCACGAUGAACUCAACUAAAGGUAACCUUAACAGGUUACUAAAAUGACAAUAACUGUAUGAGCUAAAAAUCACAAGUAAUUUUGUUUACUUGCAGUAAAUUAGAUUUUUUUAUUUAGCUAAACACAUCAUGGUCAACCUGCUGAACAAAAUGACCUGUCAUGAUUUGAUUUUGAUUACAAAUUAGGUGCAUAAUCUACAGGCUCAUAUCUCAAUUCGUGAUUAUCAUGUUUCAGGUCAUAUUGCAAGAAAAUAAAUAAGUUAAAAUCAGCUGCCAAUUGAUAACAACUCGAAAGGAAACAUGAAUAUGAGUAAGCAUAAUGUUUCCGGGUUUGAUUUUAUGCUGGUGACUUUCGGUCUUUGGUCCAUGAAAAGCUAAGAAAAAACCUUAAGAUUUCAAUUAUUUCCCUGUGUUUUGCCAUUUUCAUCACCAAAAUUGAAUACAACUUUCAUCAGUGUUUGGAUUCUGCCUUGUAAUGUUUCUGUUUGCAGCAAAAUUAGGAUUAACCAGAAUUUCACACCAAAGAAAGUCAACUCGCUUCAGGCAAUCGUAUUACAACCUUUGAGCAUCUUUAUUUUUUCUAGUUUCACGAAAGGAACAAUUUGUGAAUAUUUCAUCAAAAUUUCAAAGGAUAACAUUUUAGUUUCUGAAUGAAGGAUAAAAGGUUGUCCAAUUUAAAUGAAAAACCAAAUUGGAAAGAAACAUUUGAAAUACAAAACAUCUAAUUGAGUUAACAGAAGAGCUGUUUUACCUGUGGAAAUGUUGAAUAUUUUAUAUUUCAAAAACAUUACAGAAACAAUAAUCUAAAAA